ensembl:lncRNA
AUUUCACAUGGGGAAAGUCCACUACUCUCCGACAGUCAUUUUGUAUACCCACUUAGCACUGUGUUUGUGUUCCGGUUUGGUAUUAAAACCCAAUAUGUUUCUGCAUUGUCUCAGAACCCAUUAGCUAGCUAUUUUGGUGUCCCUGGAAUUAGAACAGAACAUUCUCUACUUGUCCUCUACUUGAUUAGACACUUUAUUCUGGUCACGUUGCUGUCUGUCACGUCUUUCACCCCCCCCCCCGUGAUACAUUUUAGUCACAUCACUAGCAUGUCUUUCAUCCUCCCUCUCUGUCUCUCUCUCUGUAUCAAAUUUGUAGGCUAGCAUGUCUCUGUGGUUUUUGUACAUUAAUACCACUUCAUGCCACUGUUGAGAAGGAAAUAAAUGUGAGCGGAAAUUCUACACCAAUCUGGUCACAGACACAUAACCUAAGAACUGCCAAGAACUCUGACCCAGAAAAACCAAGAAAGAAUGACUAAUUAGGGGCAGAAAAGAUUGUGUCCCAUGGCAUACAAGGGAAUAUUGCAUUUCUCCCCUCCCAACAUUUAUGCCUUUUUAAGGUAAUGGGUCCCUACCAAAAACACACACCAACUGUGAAGCAGCUUGAGUUAAGUUACAGAGGUUUAGAGGAGGAAGACCUAGGUGUUGAGUUACGGAUGUUCAAAGGAGAAGAGGGUGUUGAGUUAGGGAGGUUCAGAGGAGGAAGAAGGUGUUGAGUUAAGGAGGUUCAGAGGAGGAAGACCUAGGUGUUGAGUUACGGAUGUUCAAAGGAGAAGAGGGUGUUGAGUUAGGGAGGUUCAGAGGAGGAAGACCUAGGUGUUGAGUUACGGAUGUUCAAAGGAGAAGAGGGUGUUGAGUUAGGGAGGUUCAGAGGAGGAAGAAGGUGUUGAGUGAGGGAGGUUCGGAGGAGGAAGAAGGUGUUGAGUUAGGGAGGUUCAGAGGAGGAAGACCUAGGUGUUGAGUUACGGAUGUUCAAAGGAGAAGAGGGUGUUGAGUUAGGGAGGUUCAGAGGAGGAAGAAGGUGUUGAGUGAGGGAGGUUCGGAGGAGGAAGAAGGUGUUGACUUAGGGAGGUUCGGAGGAGAAAGAAGGUGUUGAGUUAAGGAGGUUCGGAGGAGGAAGAAGGUGUUGAGUUAAGGAGGUUCGGAGGAGGAAGAAGGUGUUGAGUUAGGGAGGUUUGGAGGAGGAAGAAGGGCUGAGUUGGAAGGGUGAGUUGUUUAGGUCAGUGGAUGAGUAAUAACUUUAUACUGCUGCACUCAUACAUCAUUUAUGGAUGACUGUUUGGAAUGGGUGUCUAUGUCCUUUAGGGCUGGUGUUAGAGUGCCAUUAACAGUGUGUUUCUGUGCCUGUGUGUCUGCUAAUAAAGAACUGGGUUUAAUUUCCUGACACUGUAUCCAGUUAGACCUCGAUG